UCAGUAGCUCAGUGGUAGAGCGGUCGGCUGUUAACCGAUUGGUCGUAGGUUCAAGUCCUACCUGGGGAG
rnacentral:tRNA from 2 species